GACGAACGCUGGCGGCGUGCUUAACACAUGCAAGUCGAACGGAAAGGCCCGGCUUUUGGGGGUGCUCCGGUGGCGAAAGGGGGGGGAAAAACGGAGGAACCCGCCCCUUAUUUUGGGGUUACUUCAGGGAAACGGGGGCAAUAACCGGAAGGAAUUUCUUGCGCCAGGUGGGGGGUUGGAAAUUUUCGGCGGUUGGGGUUGGUCUCGCGGGUUACAAGCUGGUUGGGGGGGUAGGGGCUUACCAAGGUUUUGACGGGUAGCCGGCCUUGGAGGGUGACCGGCCACAUUGGGACUGAGAUACGGCCCAGACUCCUACGGGAGGCAGCAGUGGGGAAUAUUGCACAAUGGGCGGAAGCCUGAUGCAGCAACGCCGCGUGCGGGAUGACGGCCUUCGGGUUGUAAACCGCUUUCGCCUGUGACGAAGCGUGAGUGACGGUAAUGGGUAAAGAAGCACCGGCUAACUACGUG
rnacentral:rRNA from 1 species